rnacentral:rRNA from 1 species
AGAGUUUGAUCAUGGCUCAGGAUGAACGCUAGCUACAGGCUUAACACAUGCAAGUCGAGGGGCAGGACAUGGUCUUAGCUUGCUAAGGCCGAUGGCGACCGGCGCACGGGUGAGUAACACGUAUCCAACCUGCCCACCACUUGGGGAUAACCUUGCGAAAGUAAGACUAAUACCCAAUGAUAUCUCUAGAAGACAUCUGAAAGAGAUUAAAGAUUUAUCGGUGAUGGAUGGGGGAUGCGUCUGAUUAGCUUGUUGGCGGGGUAACGGCCCACCAAGGCAACGAUCAGUAGGGGUUCUGAGAGGAAGGUCCCCCACAUUGGAACUGAGACACGGUCCAAACUCCUACGGGAGGCAGCA